rnacentral:lncRNA from 1 species
AUUAGGCUUGGUCUGUGGCAGAAUGGUGCCCAAGCAGGGACCCCUGGACAGUCUGGGAUGUCUUUGGCAUCUUCAUCUGCAUACCUUCUUUUGCUGCAGGAACACUCUGCUUGGACAGAUGGCAUAUUUGGACACAUUUACAGGAUGACAUGUCAUGCAAUAUUAAAAUGAAAAGUGACUCUGUGUGCUGGCCUAAGAAGAUCUUGAAGAUAGAGAUGACAGACCACCUGGACAAUGCUUCCUGAUCGUUUUUGUUAAAGGACUGUCACCCUGAAUCGGGAGGCUCCUGGCACUUUGCCCUUCUGCUUGUUGACAUCCCCUGAAGGAGGAGUUCUCAGGACACAUCAGGUGAAUUCUAGCCAUAACAUCAGGCUCCAAAGAGUUUUCUAGCUAAUAAUGUCCACUAUUGAAGACGUUUCGUUCUUGUCUAUUUGCUGGAUGCCUGGGUUAGCAGAAGCUUGUCUAAGGAGUCACUGCCUGUGUUGAAGUGGGCUCUGCAGUGAAAUAGCUGUUGGGAAGUUACCCAAGCUCCUGUAAGUAACCUCACACUGGACUCCUUAGCAACCCCGAAGGAAGCUCAGUAGAUCCUCAAGUUGAAUGUCUGCACAGUUG